UACGGAGGGUGCAAACGUUGCUCGGAAUUAUUGGGCGUAAAGGGCGCGUAGGCGGCUUUUCAAGUGACGGGUGAAAUCCCUCGGCUUAACCGAGGAACUGCCUGUCAGACUGGAAGGCUUGAGACCGGGAGAGGUGAGUGGAAUUCCCAGUGUAGCGGUGAAAUGCGUAGAUAUUGGGAGGAACACCAGUGGCGAAGGCGGCUCACUGGACCGGAACUGACGCUGAGGCGCGAAAGCGUGGGGAGCAAACAGG
rnacentral:rRNA from 1 species